ACAUUCACACUUAAAUAUUGAUAUGUAUGAAUGUGAUACAUACUUGAAAGAUAAAUAUGUAAAGUCCAAAAACAAGUGAAACGAGAAAAUAAUUAAUUUUUAUUAAAAAGAAGUAUGAUUUAGAUUAAAUUGUCAAUGAAAGCCAAUUAGUAAUUAUCAUUAUUUAAAAAUAGUAAAAGAAUUGAUGAGUGAAAAGAUGAUCGGCUUUCUUUAAAAAAAAAUAUAGACGUAACAGUGGCGAAUUACAUCGUGAAAGCGCUCACAUAACACUCAAAAUAAAAUGCGUAUAUAUAAACGGAUGUUAAAUCAGAGCCAUGGAUCUGUCUAGUAGAGAAAGUAACUAGUUUCCUUUUCCUGGCCAAAGUAAACACGAAAAUUGAUAUGCAAAAAUAUUGAUUAAGAAUUAAUCAUAUAACAAAUUCAAAUAACAAUAUGAUUUCUAAUCAUAAGAAUGAUAUUAAUGUUGGUAUUGAUAUUGAAUUUUUGAAAGUAAUCAUUUCAUAUUUUUUAUCAUGCUUCUUAUGACUGUUAUUUCACAUAUUUUACAAGCUACAAUAUAUGCAUAAUAAAA